rnacentral:lncRNA from 1 species
GUGCGCGUUGCUCAGCACGCAAACACCUCAACUAACAAACCACUCAGAGAAAACAGACGGAACCACAGGCUUUUUCUCACAAAGGCUUUUUUAAAAACAGAACGGAAAAGAAAAAGACAGCAGUCACAGACGUGCCUCCCCUGUGGCUGAAAGGACAUUCUCCACCAGACUGCCAGCUCCGGCUUCGAGCUAGCGCCCCAGGCGCCUCGGUGAACCCCGACCAACUGGGAAUGGACCUCCCACUCUGUGGACUUUCCCCUCUGCCCAGGACCUCGGCUGCCAGCCCGACUGUGGAGGUGAACGCCCG